rnacentral:rRNA from 1 species
UACGUAGGCAGCGAGCGUUGUUCGGAAUCACUGGGCGUAAAGGGUGCGUAGGCGGGUCUUAAGUCAGGGGUGAAAUCCUGGAGCUCAACUCCAGAACUGCCUUUGAUACUGAAGAUCUUGAGUUCGGGAGAGGUGAGUGGAACUGCGAGUGUAGAGGUGAAAUUCGUAGAUAUUCGCAAGAACACCAGUGGCGAAGGCGGCUCACUGGCCCGAUACUGACGCUGAGGCACGAAAGCGUGGGGAGCAAACAGG